rnacentral:piRNA from 1 species
UAAGCAGGUGAAUCAGAUU